GUGCUAGCUUUGACAGCACAUGUAUUAAAAUUGGAAUGAUGCAGAGAAGAUUAGUAUGGCCUCUGUGCAAGGAUGAUAUACAAAUUUGUAAAAGCGUAACUUUAUAUU
ensembl:snRNA U6 U6 spliceosomal RNA